CGCCAGACUCCUACGGGAGGCAGCAGUGGGGGAUAUUGCACAAUGGGGGAAACCCUGAUGCAGCGACGCCGCGUGAGUGAAGAAGUAAUUCGUUACGUAAAGCUCUAUCAGCAGGGAAGAAAAUGACGGUACCUGACUAAGAAGCCCCGGCUAACUACGUGCCAGCAGCCGCGGUAAUACGUAGGGGGCAAGCGUUAUCCGGAUUUACUGGGUGUAAAGGGAGCGUAGACGGCAAUGCAAGCCAGAUGUGAAAGCCCGGGGCUCAACCCCGGGACUGCAUUUGGAACUGUGUAGCUGGAGUGUCGGAGAGGCAGGCGGAAUUCCUAGUGUAGCGGUGAAAUGCGUAGAUAUUAGGAGGAACACCAGUGGCGAAGGCGGCCUGCUGGACGAUGACUGACGUUGAGGCUCGAAAGCGUGGGGAGCAAACAGGAUUAGAUACCCCUGUA
rnacentral:rRNA from 1 species